UUUCUGACUCAGUUCCGCGUGUUCGUGUUAACUCUUUUUCUAGGGUUUAAGAGAUGGCUUUAGUAGAUUUUCUAAAAUUUGGAAUCAGCACAGGAAAUGAAAAAAACAGGCCUUGACUUUUGAUCGAGCAAUGCAGAAGCUCAAAUUGUUAUCUGGAUCUCUGAGAAAGCGGGGGUUCUCUACAUCUUCUCAUUCAAAUACAGAUAGGAUUGUGGCAGCUGUAUUAUUCGAGAGAUUACCAGUCGUGAUACCGAAGAUCGAUCCCGUAGUUUACGCAUUUCAGGAGUUCUCGUUCCGAUGGAGGCAGAAAUAUCGGCGGAAAUAUCCAGAUGAGGUCUUAA